GGCUGGGCUUCAAUUUGUGAUCCUCCCGCUUCAGCCUCCCAGGAUGCUGGGAUCAAAGGGGAACUGGGUUUCACUACACAGUCCAUGCUGGCCUCAAACUUGCAGCAAUCCUCCUGUCAUAGCCUCCCAAGUGUUAGAAUGACAGAUGGACACCACCAUGCCUAGAUAAUUUGUUCUUUAUAAGCAGGAAGAUAGCAAAAAAUGUACCCACCAGCCAGGAUAUAUGUUUCUGUUAGUUGCCCAGGUAAUAGUUUCUGUUACAGUUCCUGUUACAUUUGUUUCUUAGAAACAGCUGGUCACUGUGAUGCAUAGCUGGUCUCUAUGAUGCAUAUUGUAAGAAUAAUCAAAGAGAGCCAAGUACUCUGCCUCUGUACUUGCUGCUUACAGAUCCUAUAAAAAUGCUUGCCCAUCACUGUUCGGAGUUUGACAUUUUAGGAAUGAUCCCAGUCAAUGCCUGUCAAGGUCAAAGAAAUCUGCCUCCAAAU